rnacentral:rRNA from 1 species
AUUGAACGCUGGCGGCAGGCCUAACACAUGCAAGUCGAGCGGGGUUUUCGGACCUAGCGGCGGACGGGUGAGUAAUGCGUAGGAAGCUGCCCGAUAGAGGGGGAUACCAGUUGGAAACGACUGUUAACACCGCAUAAUGUCUACGGACCAAAGUGUGGGACCUUCGGGCCACAUGCUAUCGGAUGCGCCUACGUGGGAUUAGCUAGUUGGUGAGGUAAUGGCUCACCAAGGCGACGAUCUCUAGCUGGUUUGAGAGGAUGAUCAGCCACACUGGAACAGAGACACUGGCCAGACUCCUACGGGAGGCAGCAGUGGGGAAUAUUGGGCAAUGGGCGCAAGCCUGAUCCAGCCAUGCCGCGUGUGUGAAGAAGGCCUUCGGGUUGUAAAGCACUUUCAGCGAGGAGGAAGGGUGGUGUGUUAAUAGCACAUCAUUUUGACGUUACUCGCAGAAGAAGCACCGGCUAACUCUGUGCCAGCAGCCGCGGUAAUAC